CUCUUCCUUUUUUUUCUUUGUAAUAUUUAGUGAACUCGACAUCUAGCAGAGGUGUGCCUUCCUCUACUUCUACCGUUGUGUCUACUUCUGCUACCACUGGUUACAUGUUAUAGCUACUUCUGCUACCACUGGUUACAUGUUAUAACUU